rnacentral:siRNA from 1 species
UGGGUCGAGUAUGUACUCG